GGGUCAGUAGGUUGGUCGUGCCACCGGUACGUACUGGUCUCACUGAUUCCUCCUUCCUGAAGAACAGUAAUGCCAUUAAUUUGGUGUUGCGGGGAAACAGGACUGUUACUUUGAAAAAAUUAGAGUGUUUAAAGCAAGCUAACGCUUGAAUACAUUAGCAUGGAAUAAUCAAAUAGGACGAUCGAUCCUAUUUUGUUGGUUUCUAGGAUUGACGUA
rnacentral:rRNA from 1 species